rnacentral:rRNA from 1 species
GAGAAUGCCCACAUACCCCUAAACAGAAAACCGGAGCAGGCAUCAGGAUACAACACCACAUUUUAGCCAAAAACGCCUUGCACAUGCCACACCCACACGGGCCUUCAGCAGUAAUUAACAUUAAGACAUGAGCGAAAGCUCGACUUAGUUAUGGUACACAUGGUCGGUAAAUUUCGUGCCAGCCACCGCGGUUAUACGAAAGACCAAAAACAACGGCCAACGGCGUAAAGCGUGACUAGAGAACUAAAACACUUUAGAGGAGAAGGGCCGCCAAGUAGUAAAACACUCACGCACGCCAGAAUCACAACUACGCCUCUAAUAACACUUUACCUCACGAAAGCUAAGAAACAAACUGGGAUUAGAUACCCCACUAUGCUUAGCCCUGAACAUAGACAGUAAAAACACAACACUGUUCGCCAGAGAACUACAAACGAAAAGCUUAAAACUCUAAGGACUUGGCGGUGCUUCAAACCAACCUAGAGGAGCCUGUCCUAUAAUCGAUACCCCACGUUUUACCUCACCCCUCCUAGCCAAACAGCCUAUAUACCGCCGUCGUCAGCUUACCUUAUGAAAGAAAUAAAGUAGGCAAAAAAGUUAAUAACUAACACGUCAGGUCAAGGUGUAGCACACGGAUGGGAAGAGAUGGGCUACAUUUUCCCCAAGCGAAAAUACGAAUGGUGUCCUGAAACACACACCUGAAGGCGGAUUUAGCAGUAAAACAACCAAGAAUAGUUAUUUUAAACCUGCUCUGAAGCGCGCACACACCGCCCGUCACCCUCAUCACGCGUCCCACACUAC